UCCUAUCCUGCUCUCAUUUCUCUCUCUCUCUCUCCUCCGAGUUCUCUUUCAUCUUGUUCAAGGAAAAAUCCUAAACUCACAAAAUGGUGUCAUAGUAGAAUGGAAAUUGGAGGCUGGAUCUGGAACAAAUAUGGGUUUGCAAAGAGAGAGCGAGCAAAUGUUAGAAAGAGGGAGAAAAUCGGUGGCAUUUGGCUCUGGUUUUGAAUUUUGAAACUGGAUUUUGGCUCCACAAAACCUGGACACGGCUUUUCUUUACAUCGCCCAUUCUCUCUCUACAGCAACAACCGUUUUUCAUCUCCAGUCGUUCUUCACCAGCCAUCCACCGCUAACAGAUCUAGGGUUUUCUCAUUCGAAAUGGUUCUUAGAUCUAGAUACUUACGGGCGAUUCACCGUACGGUUCUGAAUCCCUAACCUUGGUUUGCUCAUCUUUGUUAUUGUUUAUGGAUAUGGUGGUGGUUCUUGCGUCUCAACAAAUGAUGUUCUUCCCCUAUGGUCAUCAAGGACUUUAUUCCACUGGUUGGUGAGGAUUUGAAGAAAUUGUUGUUAGUCACUUUCAUCUCUACGAAUUAGCUACUGGAGACUUGAUUCUGAGCCUAAAUGUCCAUCUAUUGGUUGAUUAAUUUGAGGCAAAUGGAAGGAGAGUUUGCACUGAAUAUCGAAGUGUUUUGGUUGAAUGGAAUUCCUUCACAUCUCCGGUUAAAGAUCGUCUUUUGGGUAUUAAUAAUCUUAAAUCAAAUCUGCUGUCACCAGCUUUGCAGUCCGCAUUUUCUAGUCUAACGAGGCCAAAUCCAACUGGCAGGGGAGAAACCUGUGCAGAGACGUCUGCUAAUUUGUUUUUUUAGCCAGAUUGUGAAGCUAGCUGCUCUUAGAAUUAAUGGAAUGGUUGAAAGACUACGGCUGUCGCAAGAAAUAAGAGAGAGGGUAUAUUGUCUUUUUCAGUAGAUUCUGAGCCAGCGAACCGCGUUGUUUUUCAACCGUCAUAUCGACCAGAUUAUCUUAUGUUGUUUCUACAGAGUUGCAAAGAUUUCCCAACUAAGCUUAACUUUCAAAGAGAUCAUCUACAACUAUAGAAAACAACCUCAUUGUAAACCUCAAGUUUUCGGUGCUGUGUUUGUUGAUGACAGGGCAUCUUCUCGGUCCAAUGGGGUAUAUAAAGGAAGUCUUCCGAACGGGCAGCUGAUUGCAAUCAAAAGAGCUCAAGAAGGAUCUUCACAGGGUGGGCUCGAGUUUAAAAAUGAGAUCGAACUUCUUUCAAGAGUUCAUGACAAGAAUGUGGUGGGCCUCAUCGGAUUUUGUUUCGAUAAGGGUGAACAAAUGCUGGUUUAUGAGUAUAUCGUGAAUGGGACACUCAAGGAUAGUCUUUCCGAGUUUAUUCAACAAGAUUAACAAGAAGACAAUUAUGUCCUAGACCACGAUGAGUAGCGUGAGACUUCAUAAGACUUGAAAAAUAAUACCAGCAGCGCUACUUGACUUGAGUAGCGGGAGACUUAACAAUAAUUAUACAUUGUGGGUAUCGGGUUGUUUUUCCAAGCUUUGGGGAGCGUUAUUUGUCAACGGUGCUAUUUGAUUCUGUGAGGAAUGAAGUAGAAAACUUACCAGUCGAGUGAGUCAUUGAUCACAAGGCGGAGUUGUAAGACCGCGUGUUAUUUGGCUGGGAAAGAACAUCUUUCUUUUUAUUUUAAAGAAAUUGUACUUACUUGAUUAUCAACUGAACCAAUUGUUGUUGAACAGUUUAUAAGUAUUUGAUUAUUGGCCAAGAAAUGGUUUCUAACUAAAA